rnacentral:rRNA from 1 species
UACGGGGGGAGCAAGCGUUGUUCGGAUUUACUGGGCGUAAAGGGCGCGUAGGCGGUCUUGUAAGUCUCGUGUGAAAUCCCUCGGCUUAACUGAGGAACUGCACGGGAUACUGCAUGACUUGAGAUCGGGAGAGGGAAGCGGAAUUCCGGGUGUAGCGGUGAAAUGCGUAGAUAUCCGGAGGAACACCGGUGGCGAAGGCGGCUUCCUGGACCGACACUGACGCUGAGGCGCGAAAGCUAGGGGAGCAAACGGG